rnacentral:rRNA from 1 species
UACGUAGGGCGCGAGCGUUGUUCGGAAUUACUGGGCGUAAAGCGCACGUAGGCGGCUAUUCAAGUCGGGGGUGAAAGCCCGGGGCUCAACCCCGGAACUGCCCUCGAAACUAGGUAGCUAGAAUCUUGGAGAGGUCAGUGGAAUUCCGAGUGUAGAGGUGAAAUUCGUAGAUAUUCGGAAGAACACCAGUGGCGAAGGCGACUGACUGGACAAGUAUUGACGCUGAGGUGCGAAAGCGUGGGGAGCAAACAGG